UCCCCCCUUUGCACUCCUCCCCUUUCAUGAGCGUGUGGUGGAGCUUUUCAGAGGCGAGAUGAUAUUGCAGCAGACGGGAUGCCGCAGAUCUGAGGAUACAGGCCUUUUAUGUUAAGCCAGGCCUCAGGCAUUGAACACAUUUGCCAAAUGUAAAUCAAUGCCACUCUCCUCACUAUUUAUUCUGAAAAUAGUCAUUUCUUUAAUAUGUUAAUGUUAAUUAUGCUUAACAGGGAGUGGGUUUAUUAUUGUUAUUUUAAAUAAAUGUAUGAACAUUAUAAAAACUUCUCAGUUUUAGAGUAGAAUAGUGAUCACUAGGGGUGGGAAAGGCUGGGGGAAGAUAGCAAGAGGUUGGUUAAUGGAUAUAACAGUAAAGCUAGAGAGAAGUGCCUUCUAGCAUUCUACGGCACCGUAAGGGGACUACAGUAACAAUUUAUUAUAUAUUUUCAAUUGCUAAUGUUCCCAACACAAAUAAAUGAUAAGGUGAGGAGUAAGCAAGUCACCCGGAUUUUUUGUGCCCUUUGAAUGCUUUUACAAUUGAUUUUUAGUUUACUUCUUUUAAUCCUUCUCUGGAAAUUCCUUUUGCUCACCUCUUGAGACCGUCUUGAUGCAUUUGUGCUUUUGAUCGAGUACACAUUUUUAUCUCUAAGCCUUUGCCCCUAGGGCCUUUUACUAACAUGCUUCUCUGCUCCUCUCCCUCCUUCUUCAUUCCUUUCCUAUUGCCUCUGCCUUCGCCAGACUCUUGUCUCCCUCUUUCACAUCACAGUGUUCUUCUCCUCUUACCCACCUGUUUCUUCUUUCUGCCUCUAUUUUGCAAAAACUAAAAAUACCUAAAACUCUAAAAUUAAUUCGUUCUCCUCCAUGAAUACACUUUAUGUGCUCAUUCCUGAAACCAUAGUGUUUCCAUAUACUUCUCUAGAGGCCACCGUCACCUCCCACUGGGGCUUGACUUGUUGCUCCUGCCAGUAAGUUCCUCCCUGCCUCCGGGCCCAGUGGAUGCUUCUUCCCUUCCAUGUGAAUGACCCUGCUGAACUUGCUGUUAUUGCAAUGCAUGUAGGUGUGCAUGUGUGUAUGUGCGUGCACACACAUAGCAAGCUAACAAUAAGCUUGUACAUUUCAUAGCACUUUGUGGCCUGUGUCCAUAUUGACAGUGCCACACAUUGAUCCUCACACCCGUUCUUUGCUGUGAUCUAGGAUAAUUACAAUCUCAUUCAUUUACACAAAAAAGGAAACAGAGACUGGGUGAGACGAUGACUUGCCAAAGGUCGGCUAAGUGAGCAAGUUGGGACUUGACGUCUUGUUUUCUGGCUCUGCAUCUGGUGUUACUGGCCAUGAAGGACUUGUCAGUUGCGCCCUGUGAAGUAGUAGGCAAAUGGUUACAUUUCAAGGUGGUUAAGAUGUUUAGCUCUCAACGAAUACUCCAGUGUGCCUCAGUGUUGAACCAGAGGGUCUCCGUUGGAAUAAAAUUAUACAAUUAGCCAAUCAGGGGCCGUUCGAAGUAGUUCAUUCUGCAACUCUAAGUGGCAUUAUGAUCAAUGAGAUGAUAUUUACAGCAAGUCAGAGAAUAAGAGCAUCUGAAACCUUAUCCCUUCUCACCCUCACCCCACUGCCAUCUCCUGUUCCCUAUUGUCAUUUGGUCUCUAUUCUCACUGUUGUCACCUGACGGCGAAUGAAUUCGUCGGUGACAUUUAUCAAGUGCCUCUGCAGAUAGAGGACUGCGUUUUAUCCAGGGGCGACUUACGAAAGGAGUAGAAGGUAUGGCCUCUUGCGUGAAAAAUGUUCAUGGUCUAUUCUUUCUUGAUGGAAAAUGAAACUUACACUUAGGAGUUUAUGUUAAUGUCAAAUAGCGUGAAGACUGACUUUUCCCCAUGACAAUGUGCAAAGCUUCUGGCAGCAAAUAACGUGAACAUUCAGUCAAAAGGCAAACACUGAGACACUUUCCUGAGUUAUAAGUCUGACUGUUGCAUAUAAAGAAUCAAUUAAAUAGCACCUACCAAUAGAAGCCAUGAAAUACAAUGAUAUUGAUAGAUCUGAUUUGGAUGUA
rnacentral:lncRNA from 1 species